CGUGUCGUGAGAUGUUGGGUUAAGUCCGUACGAGCGCAACCCUUGUCCUUAGUUACCAGCACGUUAUGGUGGGCACUCUAAGGAGACUGCCGGUGACAAACCGGAGGAAGGUGGGGAUGACGUCAAGUCAUCAUGGCCCUUACGGCCUGGGCUACACACGUGCUACAAUGGUCGGUACAAAGGGUUGCCAAGCCGCGAGGUAGAGCUAAUCCCAUAAAACCGAUCGUAGUCCGGAUCGCAGUCUGCAACUCGACUGCGUGAAGUCGGAAUCGCUAGUAAUCGUGAAUCAGAAUGUCACGGUGAAUACGUUCCCGGGCCUU
rnacentral:rRNA from 1 species